CAAUAACCCGACGGACCAGUUGCAGGAACCGAAAAAAUGUAGCAAGCUGGGGCCCGAGGAAGAGAAGGAGUAGCAGCAACAGCUGCAGGCAAGCCGAGCUGGCGGUGAGGAGCUGAAAAGCUGCCCACAUAAGCACCGAUGUAACCGAUUCUUAUCAAGGCAGAAGUGGGGCCUUCUUCCUGGUGAAACGGUGACUAACGUCCAGCCAUCGAUCCGUCAGUUCGUCCGCGGUGGCGGGUGAUGCGUCUGGUGAUAGAAGACUUUCUCUGCUUGUGUUUUUAUGUGCGAGUGUGCAACAGAGUCAUCAGUGCACACAUUGUGUUCUGUUUUUUUACGUUCUAGAUUGCAUUAAAAGAUGUCGAUUUUGAGAUUAUUUCAUUUCUUUCUUGUUUAUUUUAAUGUAUUCUAGAAAUGAUUUGACUUUUUUUUUUUACACAUUCAGGCAUUUAGCUCAAGCACUGGGAUAAAGUUUGUCUGCUUAAAAAAAUAAAUGCAUGAAGUUGCAAUUCUUUAAUUUAAACUGACCUUCAAAGUACCUUUUCAAGUAACUUGACCAAAACUGGUGCUGAUCAUAGUUUGUAUCAUCUUAAUUGUGCUUCAUGUUUUUUCUUACACUCUGCACCCAGAUAAAGUUUUUAUGUAC